ACCCUUAAGCACACCAGCUGAAUGAAAUCAAGCGCACCUAAUCUCAAUUGGGAAAUUGGACCAAUGGAAAUUAUGUUCAGUGGCUUGCAGAUGUACCUAAUUAACCAGCCAGAUUAGAAGGGUCUAGGAUUCCUUUGUAAGGCGCAGCAAAAAAGACAAUCAGAUACAAUAUCAGGGAUCUUCUGGUAAGGCUUCUGGCUACCAUUAGUUCUGAAUACUGAGGAUUUGAGGAGAAAAAUGGCUGUGAGUUUUGAAAUGUCUUUGAGGUAAUUAUAGAUAUAUUCCCCCAAAUCAAUUAAAAGGAACUGGCCACAAUGCAGCGGUAGCUACCGGCCUUGGCAGGUGAAGCAGCCACCCAUAAUGCCUCUGCAAGUGUCACGACUAGCCCAAAUACCUUAGCUGAAGAAACUGGCCACAAUGCUUCAUCAAGCAUCAGGACUGGCCCAAAUAACUUAGGUGAAGCAACUGGCCAUGGUGCCCCGGAAGCAACUGGUCACGGUGCCUCGGCAGUGGAAGCAACUGGACACAGUGCCAUGCAAGGGGCCACCCAUAAUGCCUCAGCAAGCGCCACGACUGGCCUAAAUACCUUAGGUGGAGCAACCGGAUCCCGUGCCUCAGAAGCAGCCACCCACAAUGCCUCAGCAAGCGUCACGACUGGCCCAAAUACCUUAGCUGAAGCAGCUGGCCACAGUGCCUCUGCAGCGGAAGCAACUGGACACAGUGCAAUGCAAGCGGCCACCCACAAUGCUUCAUCAAGCGUCACGACUGGCCCAAAUACCUUAGCUGAAGCAAUUUUCCACAGUGCUUCAUCAAGCGCCACGACUGGCCCAAAUACCUUAGCUGAAGCAGCUGGCCACGGUGCCUCGGCAGUGGAAGCAACUGGACACAGUGCAAUGCAAGCGGCCACCCACAAUGCUUCAUCAAGCGUCACGACUGGCCCAAAUACCUUGGGUGAAAUAUCCGACUCCAGUGCCUCAACAGAAGCAGCAACCCAUAAUGCCUCAGCAAGCGUCACGACUGGGCCAAAUACCUUAGCUGAAGCAACUGGCCACAAUGCUUCAUCAAGCGCCACAACUGGCCCAAAUGCCUUACGUGAAGCAACUGGCCACGGUACCUCAUCAAGUGCGGAAUCUGGUUCAAAUGCCUCGGGAGCAGCGACAGGCGCCCUUGCCUCGGCAGAAGCGACAGGAGGGCCAACUCCUCAAGCGACAUGGAUUUUAGUAGCAGUGAUGUUUCUCAGGAUUUUGGGUCUGACGGUGACAAUGAAUGCACCCAAUGUGUCAGGCAGCAUCGUUGAACAGUCAGUUCUCAUCCCAAUAUAGUUACAAGUCUGUGUAUGAGAAUGGCAAAACUGUCUACUCCCAAACCUGCCCCACCACUGGGGAGGUUCUACCAUUUUGAUAGCGGAGAUACUCUCAAGGACUGUAGUGACGUUGUCAUCUCUGAACCAAGCAUCUCCCCACCUGCUAAAAACUCACAACCUGCUAAAGGAACCCUGCCACAAGGGAAGUCUACUGGGAUGUAAUGUGCAACUUUUACUCUCGCCUGCACUUUGGGUUCUGAUUUUGAAAUAAUUUGUACUAAUCAUCUAUCAACAGAAUUGCAAUGGUAGAUUCAUCCUUUAGAUGACAAAUCCAAGUUGUUGCUGACACUUUAAGCGUCCACUGUAUGCUUUUGCGUCGGCCAGGGAGAUGCUGCUGCUCAUGCUACCCUGCAUUACUUGUAAAACAAUAAAAUAUUGUACCUUUUUAAGU